rnacentral:pre_miRNA from 1 species
AUAGGUCUAUUUGCUUUCUCAUGUUGAUUAUAAUUUCAUGAGAUCAAAUUAGACUUAUCG